UACAGAGGGGGCGAGCGUUGUUCGGAAUUACUGGGCGUAAAGGGCGCGUAGGCGGCCUUCUAAGUCGAACGUGAAAUCCCCGGGCUCAACCCGGGAACUGCGUCCGAUACUGGGAGGCUUGAAUCCGGGAGAGGGAUGUGGAAUUCCAGGUGUAGCGGCGAAAUGCGUAGAUAUCUGGAGGAACACCGGUGGCGAAGGCGGCAUCCUGGACCGGUAUUGACGCUGAGGCGCGAAAGCGUGGGGAGCAAACAGG
rnacentral:rRNA from 1 species